rnacentral:rRNA from 1 species
UACAGAGGUCUCAAGCGUUGUUCGGAUUCAUUGGGCGUAAAGGGUGCGUAGGCGGCGCGGUAAGUCGGGUGUGAAAUCUUGGAGCUUAACUCCGAAACUGCAUUCGAUACUGCCGUGCUUGAGGACUGGAGAGGAGACUGGAAUUUACGGUGUAGCGGUGAAAUGCGUAGAUAUCAACUGGAAUGCCGAUGGGGAAGCCGUCCAGCUGGGCCUGUCUUGACGCUGAGGCACGAAAGCGUGGGGAGCAAACAGG